UGAUUUGUGCUGGGAUGGAAUCGGAAUUUUGAUUUAUUUUUCCUCUCCCAACCAUAAGAAGAAAAAAAUAAUAAAAACACCCCCUCUUGAGAGCCCCCUCCCCCUUUGCAUCCAGCUCCCAGCUCUUCUUCCCUAUCUCCAUCCAAGGCAGAUUUUUUCCCCUACACUAUUCUCAUCUUCCCCCACCCUUGCCACUACCUCGCCCCCCCACCCAGCCUGCUCCUCCAGCUGGGGAGAGAGGGGACUCUCCGGACUCCCCCACCUUUCCUCUCUGGGUUGGAGCAGUCUCUCCGGAAGGGGAGGGGGCUUGGCUUGUCCGGGCGAGGUGGGAGUGGAGGUAUCCUGCCAUGGAUGCUGUGCCGGGGAGGCAGCCUGAGCCCCAGCCCACAUGCCACUCAGGAUGAGGGUCCGGCCCUGCCUGCCCUCGCUGGGGCCCCCCCGCCCGGCCCCGGUCUAACUGCCCCCGCCCCGAGGCCUCGCCCGGCUCCAAGGCCCCCAGCCGGCUCUCCAGUCCCAGGAUGCGCUGAGCCGCCGGGGGGCUGAGGCCGCGCCAACUACAUGCAUGUCCCCCGGGGGCAAGUUCGACUUUGACGACGGGGGCUGCUACGUGGGGGGCUGGGAGGCGGGGCGGGCACAUGGCUACGGCGUGUGCACGGGCCCCGGCGCCCAGGGCGAGUACAGCGGCUGCUGGGCACACGGCUUCGAGUCACUGGGCGUCUUCACGGGGCCCGGCGGACACAGCUACCAGGGCCACUGGCAGCAGGGCAAGCGCGAAGGGCUGGGCGUGGAGCGCAAGAGCCGCUGGACGUACCGCGGCGAGUGGCUGGGCGGGCUGAAGGGGCGCAGCGGCGUGUGGGAAAGCGUGUCCGGCCUGCGCUACGCCGGGCUCUGGAAGGACGGUUUCCAGGACGGCUACGGCACCGAGACCUACUCCGACGGAGGCACCUACCAGGGCCAGUGGCAGGCCGGGAAGCGCCACGGCUACGGGGUGCGCCAGAGUGUGCCCUACCAUCAGGCGGCGCUGCUGCGCUCACCCCGCCGCACCUCCCUGGAUUCCGGCCACAGCGACCCCCCGACGCCACCCCCGCCCCUGCCCUUGCCGGGCGACGAGGGAGGCAGCCCCGCCUCGGGCUCCCGGGGCGGCUUCGUGCUGGCCGGGCCCGGGGACGCCGACGGCGCGUCGUCCCGAAAGCGCACUCCGGCGGCCGGCGGAUUCUUUCGCCGUUCGCUGCUGCUCAGCGGGCUCCGAGCGGGCGGACGUCGCAGCUCCCUGGGCAGCAAGCGAGGCUCCCUGCGCAGCGAGGUGAGCAGCGAGGUGGGCAGCACCGGACCGCCCGGCUCGGAGGCCAGCGGGCCCCCGGCCGCAGCGCCGCCCGCCCUCAUCGAGGGCUCGGCCACAGAGGUGUACGCGGGCGAGUGGCGCGCAGAUCGGCGCAGCGGCUUCGGCGUCAGCCAGCGCUCCAACGGGCUGCGCUACGAGGGCGAGUGGCUGGGCAACCGGCGGCACGGCUACGGGCGCACCACCCGCCCCGACGGCUCCCGCGAGGAGGGCAAGUACAAGCGCAACCGGCUGGUGCACGGCGGGCGCGUCCGCAGUCUCCUGCCUCUGGCCCUUCGGCGGGGCAAAGUUAAGGAGAAGGUGGACAGGGCUGUCGAGGGCGCCCGUCGAGCCGUGAGUGCUGCCCGUCAGCGCCAGGAGAUCGCCGCUGCCAGGUGGGCGUCCAGUUCAGAGGCCAAAGCUGGGCUAAGAGGAGGGGGUGCGCUGGGGACCAGGAAGGCGGGUGUGCCUAAGGGAGGACCAAGCCCCAAGGCCCAGGGCCUGCUAUUGCAAGCCUAAGGCCAGGCAGUUGUACCCCUGGGCAUUCUUGGUGUUUAUAUCCGAGGCUACAGGUGGAUGUGGGUGUAACUCUGGGUAGCUGGGUAUUUGAGGGAGAUGGUGUAAGACUGUAAAUGUGUCUCGGUGUCUUUUGUGUGGAGAUGCAUGUCUAUGGAAUCCAUUGUUGUGUGUGGGAGUAGCAAGGAAGCUGUUUUGUGCAGGCCCAGAAAUCUCUUGGAACUCAAAACAUGUCCCUAGUCUUCCUCCUCUUGCAGCUGAUCCAGCCUCCAGGCCUCAGGCUGGGAGCAUCAACCCUGGGUGGAAUAGGGACUGUCCCUUCCUAACCACGUCCCAGCCUGACACCAUUUCAGCCUUGGGCCUUUGGGAAGUCUAAUUUAUACAGCUGACCUAUCCGCCUGAAAAGAUAGUCUCUCCCAGUUUUGCCCCCUCUGCCUUCUUUUACCCAACUGAUGGGAGGUUUGAGGGGAGGAGGCUUCCCUGUAAAUGAAACGUUUCUGUAAAUCAAAUUACAUUUCCUUGCAUCAGGAACCUUGCUAUCUAAAGCAGUGCUGUUUAACAGGAAUAUUAUAUAAGCCAAAUAGGUAGUUUUAAAUCUCAUAGUAACCACAUU
rnacentral:sRNA from 1 species